rnacentral:rRNA from 1 species
UACGUAGGGUGCAAGCGUUAAUCGGAAUUACUGGGCGUAAGACGUGCGCAGGCGGUGAUGUAAGACAGGUGUGAAAUCCCCGGGCUUAACCCUGGGAACUGGCCAUUUGUGUACUGCAUCGCUGGAGUGCGGCAGAGGGGGAUGGAAUUCCGGCGUGUAGCAGUGAAAUGCGUAGAUAUGCGGAGGAACACCGAUGCGAAGGCAA